UGCAGAUUACACUCGCAAUUUCUAUGUGUAUAUAUCAGAAAUCGUGAGUGUAAUAUGCAGCGUCCAUAUGCCUAUGUGAUGCCCGUGCACGUGAAGGAGAGUCGGGUUCUGCCAGGCUGUCAGAAUCCGGCACAACAAAGAUAACAUCAGAAGAGAAAGAACCACGUCGACUUACAAGGAUAUGCCCUGCCCCUGUAUUACCUAAGCGGAACCAUUUCACUUCACAGGGGUGUCACUAUCCUACAAGAAUGGGUUACAACAACGGUUCUAGGUUGCAGACAUCACCCCUCCCAUGAGCUGGCCGUGGGCCCUCUGGCAUACUCAUGAGUGAGCUCAGCCUGCUCUGCCUUUUACUGACUCUGCUACGGAACAGACAACAGGUGAUUAUUAUAGGUAAGUAUAACAGGUAGGUAUACAAGUAAGUAUUACACUCACACACACAGUCUUAAAGUCUCCCUGGUGAUGGGCAAUACCUUUGCCUCAUCACACUGACAUAGUACCAAUCGGACACUGGACAACAGAGCUGAAAAACAGACAGUAUGGUCCAAAACCAGGCACAUGGCAACCCUAGGUGUCCCAUUUUCCUGAGGCACAGUUGCACAAUUUAAUGUCCAUACCAUGUAUAAAUUUCCACAACUCAAAACCUACUUGAAGGGUAAUCUGAAUGUCUACUUCAAAGUCAUGUGCUUUUCAUUCAUUACUUGAACAACAUCUCAAAUGCUAAAAAAAAAAUAGCUUAAAAAGGGCUAACUAUUGGCUACAUGACACACUGACCCGACAUUCCAGAACAAACAUUAACAUUGUAGCACACCACACAGAUUUACUGACCUUUGUAUUAAUACAGCAAGAUAUUAAAAAGCUUAAAAGACUUGUCAGAUGAAUAAAG